AUCUACCUAAAGGUUUUAAUGAGGGAUAGGUAUUGUGUCCUUUUACAUGCUUGAUAAAGUGCCCAUUUGCAUCCAAACUGAAAUGAUUUGGUGGUUAUGAAAGUAUCCUCAGUACCGGAGCAAAACCAGAAUCAACAAAUUGAAAUCCACAAGGCACAUGAGUUAGUUCUCUGGGAUCCAACACCUUCCCCUAAAUCCCUGUGGCUUGAUGGGAAGUCCAGAGGAACAGGAAGAAAAGCGGUAACAUUGACAAAUGGAUCAAGGAAUAAAAACCAAGAGAAUUUUUGAGAACAGAAAAACACCAGUCAGGAUUCAAAGACAGAACUGAAAGCGGAGUUGGCUAUCUGAGCACCUUACUGCAAGGUGACCAAGGAAAAGGCAGUCAGAGAUAAAGAUUCAACCAAGUGAGAGAAACCAGGUUCUAGAGAGAUUUCAGUUAAUUAAAUAAAAACAAGACAGGCCAUGUAGGUUAGCUUCCCUCGCCAUAGUUUAUUCCCUGAGAUUCCCAGUACAGAAUUUCUAGAAAUUAAGGCGAGAAGACUAUGACACUCUUAAACUCCUGGACCAUGCGGAAAGUUUCCAGGGAAGUAUUUGAGAACUCAGAGACUUAUCUGGCCAGAGGCUGCAUCAAGUUUUUCAGUUCCCUCAGAACAACAGCUUAAAAUAACCACAUAGCUUGUUUUUUGUU